ensembl:lncRNA
AUGUAUUUUGAACUGCUGGAGGCCUCUCGCAUUUGUCCCCUGAACUGCUCUUCCACGUGCUUGGCAGCCUGUCAGAGGGAAGUCUCUGUCUCCCCCCCAUCUCUGUGUCUCCCCCUCUUCUCUCUCUUCUCUCUCUCUCCCUCUCUGUCUCUCUGUCUCCCCCCCAUCUCUCUGUCUCUCUCUCUCUCUCUCUCUCUCUGUCUCUCUCUCUCCUCUCUCUUUCUCUCUCCCUCUCUCUCUCUGUCUCUCCCUCCCUCUCCCUCUCCAUCUCUCUCUCUCUCCUCUCUGUCUUUCUCUCUCUCUCUCUGUCUCUACCUCUCUCUCUCUGUAUCUCUCUCUGUCUCUCUCUCUGUCUCUGUCUUUCUCUCUCUUCAUCUCUCUCUGUCUCUCUGUCUCUGUCUCUCUCUGUCUUUCUCUCUCUCUGUCUCUCUUCCUCUCUCUUUCUCUCUCCCUCUCUCCCUCUCUCUCCCUCCCCCUCUCUCUCUGUCUCUCUCUCUGUCUCUCUCUCUCUCUUUCUCUCUCUUCUGUCUCCAUCUCUCUCUCCCUCUCCCUCAGCCUGUCUCUUUCUCUCUCUUCUAUCUCCAUCUCUCUCUCCCUCAGCCUGAUCUCUUUCUCUCUCUUCUAUCUCCAUCUCUCUCUCCCUCAGCCUGUCUCUCUCUCCUCUUUCCCUUUCUUUCUCUCUCUGUCUCUCUCUCUCUUUCUCUCUCUUCUGUCUCCAUCUCUCUCUCCCUCAGCCUGUCUCUCUCUCCUCUUUCCCUUUCUUUCUCUCUCUGUCUCUCUCUCUCUUUCUCUCUCUUCUGUCUCCAUCUCUCUCUCCCUCAGCCUGUCUCUCUCUCCUCUUUCCCUUUCUUUCUCUCUCUCUUUCUCUCUUCUGUCUCCAUCUCUCUCUCCCUCUCCCUCAGCCUGUCUCUUUCUCUCUCUUCUAUCUCCAUCUCUCUCUCCCUCAGCCUGUCUCUUUCUCUCUCUUCUAUCUCCAUCUCUCUCUCCCUCAGCCUGUCUCUCUCUCCUCUUUCCCUUUCUUUCUCUCUCUGUCUCUCUCUCUCUUUCUCUCUCUUCUGUCUCCAUCUCUCUCUCCCUCAGCCUGUCUCUCUCUCCUCUUUCCCUUUCUUUCUCUCUCUGUCUCUCUCUCUCUUUCUCUCUCUUCUGUCUCCAUCUCUCUCUCCCUCAGCCUGUCUCUCUCUCCUCUUUCCCUUUCUUUCUCUCUCUCUUUCUCUCUUCUGUCUCCAUCUCUCUCUCCCUCUCCCUCAGCCUGUCUCUCUCUCCUCUCCCAUCCCUCCCUCUCCUCAUCUCUCUCUCCCUCUCCCUCCCUUCUCUUCCUCCACCCGCCCCUGCCAUAAUUCCCUCUUGAGAACAGCUCCCAGGCUAAGCCUUCCCCACACACAAAGGAGCAGCAUGGAGUGAAUUUUCACAGCUGGGUUAUAAACUCCUAAAAAUAGUGAUGGGUGAUGGAUUAGGGCUGUCGCUGAGUCGCCAGCCGUGGGGGGAAACGGAGAAGAGAGCAGGGGAGAAUCAAAGGGCUGGGGGAGGGUCCUUCACUGGCUGGAGCCCCCCCUUCUGCUCAGGCCCAGCUCACUCCUGACUCAGGCGGAUGAAUGAGUGUGUCUUUGGGCUUCUGGGAAAAGAGGCCUGGGGUGAAACAAAGCCCGAUUAUCUAGCUAUUAAUUUACUCCGGGAGAGCCGCUUAGGGAGGCUGGAGUCUUACUCGGGUAGAGAACGCGGAGGAUUCACUCUUUUGGCCAGCAUCUAUUAAGCUCCUACUGUGUGCCAGGCACCCUACUAGGUUCUGGGCCUGGAUCUGGGAUUUCUUCAGUGAGAUACGCCAGCGGGGUGACCGGCAUCAGCCCUGGACCCGUCCUUUAUUUCAGUCACUUCUUUUAUUAUUUACUGUAGACAAACUAGCCUUUAAUCUUUCAGCUGCACAUUUCUGGCACUUAUUUUCUGCGCAAGCGCCUGGAAGGCCGUAGCAGACCAGAGCCUCUGGCCAGGGUCACGAAGCUCCUCUGGAGGCCCUGCGGCCCCCUCCGUCUGCUAUCCCAUCCCUGCCUCUCUGGUCCUGGGGAUGCAGAGACGAGGAGGAAUAGAGCCGGGGCACCGGGCCUGGACACGGGAGGACCUGGGUUCGAAUCCGGCCUCAGACACUUUGGGACCCUCGCUAGCAAGUCUCUUAAGCCUGCCGGGCCACUCUUGCCACUCUUCUGUCUACAACUGAUACGAGGAGAGAAGGAAAGCGUUUGUGGGAAAUGAAUGCGGUUCCUGCCUUGGAGAAGUUCUACUCUCCUCGGGGCGACGCACGCACUGAAGUAAGAGGGAGCAGGGUUCAAGGAAGGGCGGUGAAGAGAGGUCGGGAUGCCGAGGGGCAGGCGGGGAGGUGCGCGGCCGGCGGGCAGCCUGGGCAAGGCGU